rnacentral:rRNA from 1 species
CAGAGGCUUUUUCCUCUGCUGUAAAUGUUCGUCUCAUUCAAAAAACCUCCGCAACCCCAUGUUUUCACAUAACUGUUGCGUUGACCAAUUGAAUCUACAGUAGCCUUUUUUAAUAUCGUAUUUUGUUCCUCCAGACGGCGAACUUGCUUUUCCAGCUCGCGGAUACGUUGCUGGUCUGGAGUAAUGGGUGUGGCAGAGGGCGUAAUACCCUGGCGCUCUCGCCUGAGCUGGCGUACCCAGC